UGAGGAAUAUUGGUCAAUGGGCGAGAGCCUGAACCAGCCACGUCGCGUGAAGGAAGACUGACCUUACGGUUUGUAAACUUCUUUUGUAGAGGGGUAAUGGCAGAUACGUGUAUUUGCGUGAAAGUACUCUACGAAUAAGCUUCGGCUAACUCCGUGCCAGCAGCCGCGGUAAUACGGGGGAUGCGAGCGUUAUCCGGAAUUAUUGGGUUUAAAGGGUGCGCAGGUGGCUAAUCAGGUCAGUGGUGAAAAGCUAUGGCUCAACCAUGGUCUUGCCAUUGAAACCGUAUAGCUAGAGAGGAGACGAGGUAGGCGGAAUGUGUGGUGUAGCGGUGAAAUGCAUAGAUAUCACACAGAACUCCGAUUGCGAAGGCAGCUUACCAGGCUUUAUCUGACACUUAGGCACGACAGCGUGGGGAUCAAACAGG
rnacentral:rRNA from 1 species